AGGAAGUGGUUGGGUGGGGUGGGCGGUGGGCAGUGAAACAUCUGGUUUUGUUGUUGUUGCGACCCCCGUCCCCCGUUCCCCACAGCAUAGCACAGCACAUGCGCAGUGAUUGGACAACGAACUAUUGUUCGUUUGUUCGUUCGGCUGGCUUCCAUCCCCAUGGAAGGACGACGUCGACGAUGGCGAUGGCAGCAAGCAGGACCUCAGCAGCAGCAGCAUCGCUUCAAGUUAGUUUAUUCGUCACCGUUAAACCCAUCGCAAGUUUUUCUUCGACCAUUUUCCGCACAAACGAAACGAAAAGAAUUGAAUCCAAUAACAACAAGAAAAUCAACAAAAGCAGCAGUUGAAAAAAUCACUAUUGUUGUUCCAAACAAUAUUCUGAUCGUCAUCGUGAUAGUUGUGAUCGUGUUGUUGUUCUUCCUGGUGUUGUGUACGACUCCUGCCGGGGAAAACGACAUCAACCUGACGCCGCCGAAGCAAUUGACGUUGACGUUGACGUUGCCAUUGCUGCUGCAAUUUCUGGCCGCGCUCGUUCAGCUCCUGCUCGUAACAACGAACUUCAAAAGCGAGCUGCAUCAUAUGCUGUGCGAUUUAACCAUCCAGCGACAUACUGUGGCCAUUACCUAUGACCUCAGCGAAAUUCAGAUGCAAUUCGACCAUAAAUUCACCGUGGAUACAAAAUAACUCUCAACUCUUUUGUUUUUGAAAUCGUUUAUCGUAAGCAUCGAUCGUAGCAUUUUUGAUGUGGUCAAAUUUCUGGUUAAGCUUUGGUUCAAAAUUAUUGCGUAUCAGAAGAAGAGUGCGUCGAUGCUUCGCUGUUUCUCUCUCGAUGAGCUCUCGAUGAGGCGGCAUUGACAUAAAGCCAGGCCUAAGAGCGAGCAAUCGAUCGGUCGUGUCGUUCUUAACCACAAUAAAAACAUCAACAUUCAAGAUUAAACCCUUUGCAAUAAGAGAGAGAGAGACGGCAAUUGUUUUUUUUAGUGCUCUGUGUUCUCAAGUGUUUCGAAGCGUGGGGUCUUUCCAAUGUUGUUUACUUGCUAUGCACCGUUCCCAUCGCUGGCCUAACUGUAUACCUAUGUGGAAACACCAGCAAAAAAAGGCGCACCUCCAAUUCCACAAAAACGGAGUAAAAGCUUCGAACUGUGCAUGAAUUCAAAGAGGCGAACUAUAAGUCAUCG